UAGAGUGCGGUAGGGGAGAUUGGAAUUCCUGGUGUAGCGGUGGAAUGCGCAGAUAUCAGGAGGAACACCGAUGGCGAAGGCAGAUCUCUGGGCCGUAACUGACGCUGAGGAGCGAAAGCGUGGGGAGCGAACAGGAUUAGAUACCCUGGUAGUCCACGCCGUAAACGUUGGGCGCUAGAUGUAGGGACCUUUCCACGGUUUCUGUGUCGUAGCUAACGCAUUAAGCGCCCCGCCUGGGGAGUACGGCCGCAAGGCUAAAACUCAAAGGAAUUGACGGGGGCCCGCACAAGCGGCGGAGCAUGCGGAUUAAUUCGAUGCAACGCGAAGAACCUUACCAAGGCUUGACAUACACCGGAAACGGCCAGAGAUGGUCGCCCCCUUGUGGUCGGUGUACAGGUGGUGCAUGGUUGUCGUCAGCUCGUGUCGUGAGAUGUUGGGUUAAGUCCCGCAACGAGCGCAACCCUCGUUCUAUGUUGCCAGCGCGUUAUGGCGGGGACUCAUAGGAGACUGCCGGGGUCAACUCGGAGGAAGGUGGGGAUGACGUCAAAUCAUCAUGCCCCUUAUGUCUUGGGCUUCACGCAUGCUACAAUGGCCGGUACAAAGGGCUGCGAUACCGUAAGGUGGAGCGAAUCCCAAAAAGCCGGUCUCAGUUCGGAUUGAGGUCUGCAACUCGACCUCAUGAAGUCGGAGUCGCUAGUAAUCGCAGAUCAGCAACGCUGCGGUGAAUACGUUCCCGGGCCUUGUACACACCGCCCGUCAAGUCAUGAAAGUCGGUAACACCCGAAGCCGGUGGCCUAACCCUUGUGGAAGGAGCCGUCGAAGGUGGGAUCGG
rnacentral:rRNA from 1 species